GUUGUCUAUAAACUGUACAUAAAUAUAAAGGUGUGUAGUAUUCUCAGUCAGUCAGUGUCAUGUGACCUAUGUCAUGUGACCUAUAUGUUGUCUAUAAACUGUACAUAAAGAUACAGGUGUGUAGUAUUCUCAGAGUCAGUCAGUGUCAUGUGACCUCAGGUGUAUUCUCAGGGGGAGAACAGGAGAAAUCAAAAGGACUACAGUGAACAGAAUUUCAAUAUACAAAAUUCCAGGAGACAAAAAAAAAAGGAACGUAAGAUAUUGUAGGACAUUCACAACUCUUUAAGUCGAAGAGAAUCUGACAUCGCCAUGGAAAAAAAUGAAAAACAAUCAAAAUUCAACAGUCUACAUUAGUCAUUUCAGGGCCUUUUAUAGCUGACUAUGCCAUAUGGGCUUUGAUCAUUGUUGAAGGCUGUACGGUGACUUAUAGUUGUUAUUUUCUGUGUCAUUUGGUCUAUUUUGUAUAAUUGUCUCAUUGGCAAUCAUACCACAUCUUCUUUUUAUAUUCAAAACAUUACAUAGAAAACUAAAGACCGAGCAAC
rnacentral:lncRNA from 1 species